AUGUUGAACUUGCUGUCCCAGAUAGGAAAACAGAAGCAUAAAGCUGGGAAACGACUGGACCAAGGUCAUACUACUCACUGCAGCUGCAAUCCUGCCACUGAAAUAAAAGCGAGAGAUAGACACAUGCAAACACACAGACAGGAAGAGCGAGUGGCAGGAAGCUCUGCUUGUUCUAUCUUUAAAAUGCGUCCUGACUCUUCCAGAAGAAACUGACUCCUUCUCACCACCACCCCCACUACUACCCUGCUCCGAACCUCCAUCAUCGCUUACCUGGAUCAUCUGUAAUGACCUCUUCAUGGGGCUUCCAGCUUCCACCAUAACACCCCUCAGACUGUGCACCAUGUACUGGCCAGAGGGAUCUACUUGAAACGCAAGUCCGACCAUGGCACUCCUCUGCUCAAAACCAUCCCAUGUUGGUUUGUCAGAUAAAAUACAGGAUGCCCAGUGAAAUUUGAAGUUCAGAUAAACAGUAAAUAAUUUUUAUUAUAAGCAUAUCCCGUGACAUUGAGG
rnacentral:lncRNA from 13 species